rnacentral:rRNA from 1 species
CCUACGGGAGGCAGCAGUGGGGAAUAUUGGACAAUGGGGGCAACCCUGAUCCAGCCAUGCCGCGUGUGUGAAGAAGGCCCUCGGGUUGUAAAGCACUUUCAGUGAGGAAGAACGCCUGGUGGUUAAUACCCAUCAGGAAAGACAUCACUCACAGAAGAAGCACCGGCUAACUCCGUGCCAGCAGCCGCGGUAAUACGGAGGGUGCGAGCGUUAAUCGGAAUUACUGGGCGUAAAGCGCGCGUAGGUGGCUUGAUAAGCCGGUUGUGAAAGCCCCGGGCUCAACCUGGGAACGGCAUCCGGAACUGUCAAGCUAGAGUGCAGGAGAGGAAGGUAGAAUUCCCGGUGUAGCGGUGAAAUGCGUAGAGAUCGGGAGGAAUACCAGUGGCGAAGGCGGCCUUCUGGACUAACACUGACACUGAGGUGCGAAAGCGUGGGUAGCAAACAGGAUUAGAUACCCCGGUAGUC